rnacentral:sRNA from 1 species
GAAUUAUCUUCCUACUUCAGGAUGAAGUCUUGGAGCUGUUGUGGCAUCCAGACCCUGGAUUUUGGGGCAUUCUUGGCACAGCCAGGGUGCAGAGUUGGUAGACAUGACUGGGGGAAGCAGCUCCCAGCAUCUUGCCGCCAUGAUUGGCACCAGACAGAUUCCUUAGUAGUGGUGACUGUAUAUGGCCAGAUUCCACUUCCUGCGUUUAACUGGGUGAAGGCCAGUCAAACUGAGCUUCAUGUCCACAUUGUCUUUGAUGGUAACCGUGUGUUCCAAGCACAGAUGAAGCUCUGGGGGGUAAGUGAAGACCAGGGGACACAAAAGCGGGAGGCAGAUGGGUGAAAGAGUGGCUAGACUGGAAUAGAGGGUGUCUUGAGGGAAGGAGUUGUACCAGGAAAAUGGAGGUUUUCUCUUCAUUUGCUUUCAUUUUCUCUCUCUCUCCUGCUCUUCCUGUUUCCCUCUUUCCCUCCCCUCUUCCUUCUCCCUUUUCAUCUCUCAUUUCUUUCCUCUCUCUCCCUUAUUGUCUUAUUCCUCUCUUACCUUUUUUCUCACCUUAUUUAUUAAAAUUUUCUCUCUC